AUUGAACGCUGGCGGAAUGCUUUACACAUGCAAGUCGAACGGCAGCACGGACUUCGGUCUGGUGGCGAGUGGCGAACGGGUGAGUAAUACAUCGGAACGUGCCCAGUCGUGGGGGAUAACGUAGCGAAAGCUACGCUAAUACCGCAUACGAUCUAAGGAUGAAAGCGGGGGAUCGCAAGACCUCGCGCGAUUGGAGCGGCCGAGGGCAGAUUAGGUAGUUGGUGGGGUAAAGGCCUACCAAGCCGACGAUCUGUAGCUGGUCUGAGAGGACGCCCAGCCCCACUGGGACUGAGACACGGCCCAGACUCCUACGGGAGGCAGCAGUGGGGAAUUUUGGACAAUGGGCGCAAGCCUGAUCCAGCCAUUCCGCGUGCAGGAUGAAGGCCCUCGGGUUGUAAACUGCUUUUGUACGGAACGAAAAGGCUCUGGUUAAUACCCGGGGCUCAUGACGGUACCGUAAGAAUAAGCACCGGCUAACUACGUGCCAGCCGCCGCAGUAA
rnacentral:rRNA from 1 species